rnacentral:pre_miRNA from 1 species
UUCUGUGGAUUAGGCUUUGGCUUAAGGGAACUUUAUGCCUGGCUGCAUCUUCUAUCUAUAAUUCUAAAGCUUUCUCCAUAUCAGC